GAUGAACGCUAGCGACAGGCCUAACACAUGCAAGUCGAGGGGCAGCACAAGGUAGCAAUACUGAGGUGGCGACCGGCGCACGGGUGAGUAACGCGUAUGCAACCUGCCUGUAACAGGGGAAUAGCCUCUUGAAAGAGAGAUUAAUGCCGCAUAAUACGAGAUUCGGGCAUCCGGAUUUAGUUAAACAUUUAUGGGUUACAGAUGGGCAUGCGUUUCAUUAGGUAGUUGGUGAGGUAACGGCUCACCAAGCCGACGAUGAAUAGGGGUUCUGAGAGGAAGGUCCCCCACACUGGUACUGAGACACGGACCAGACUCCUACGGGAGGCAGCAGUGAGGAAUAUUGGUCAAUGGACGCAAGUCUGAACCAGCCAAGUCGCGUGAAGGAUGAAGGUAUUAUGUAUUGUAAACUUCUUUUGUCAGGGAAUAAUGGGUGUCACGUGUGACGCAGAGGAAUGUACCUGACGAAUAAGCAUCGGCUAACUCCGUGCCAGCAGCCGCGGUAAUACGGAGGAUGCGAGCGUUAUCCGGAUUUAUUGGGUUUAAAGGGUGCGUAGGCGGUUUGUUAAGUCAGUGGUGAAAGUUUGCGGCUCAACCGUAAAAUUGCCAUUGAAACUGGCGAACUUGAGUACACUAGAGGUAGGCGGAAUUCGUGGUGUAGCGGUGAAAUGCUUAGAUAUCACGAAGAACUCCNA
rnacentral:rRNA from 1 species